AGAGUUUGAUCCUGGCUCAGAACGAACGCUGGCGGCAUGCCUAACACAUGCAAGUCGAACGAGACCUUCGGGUCUAGUGGCGCACGGGUGCGUAACGCGUGGGAAUCUGCCCUUAGGUUCGGAAUAACUCAGGGAAACUUGAGCUAAUACCGGAUAAUAUCGCGAGAUCAAAGAUUUAUCGCCUAGGGAUGAGCCCGCGUAGGAUUAGCUAGUUGGUGGGGUAAAAGCUCACCAAGGCGACGAUCCUUAGCUGGUCUGAGAGGAUGAUCAGCCACACUGGGACUGAGACACGGCCCAGACUCCUACGGGAGGCAGCAGUGGGGAAUAUUGGACAAUGGGCGAAAGCCUGAUCCAGCAAUGCCGCGUGAGUGAUGAAGGCCUUAGGGUUGUAAAGCUCUUUUACCCGGGAUGAUAAUGACAGUACCGGGAGAAUAAGCUCCGGCUAACUCCGUGCCAGCAGCCGCGGUAAUACGGAGGGAGCUAGCGUUGUUCGGAAUUACUGGGCGUAAAGCGUACGUAGGCGGCUUUGUAAGUUAGAGGUGAAAGCCUGGGGCUCAACCCCAGAAUUGCCUUUAAGACUGCAUCGCUCGAAUCCAGGAGAGGUGAGUGGAAUUCCGAGUGUAGAGGUGAAAUUCGUAGAUAUUCGGAAGAACACCAGUGGCGAAGGCGGCUCACUGGACUGGUAUUGACGCUGAGGUACGAAAGCGUGGGGAGCAAACAGGAUUAGAUACCCCCGUAGUCC
rnacentral:rRNA from 1 species